AUGAUUAUUUUUACUCUCCUCAGUUUUUUGUGGAUGUGUAUUGGUCACACAGAGGCAGAUGCAAUAAAACCCUUGUCACUGAAUGAAUAUAGACGUGUUGGUGACAGUGCUACUCUGUCCUGCAGUUACAAAGACUAUACAGCUACUGUACAGAAUUUACAAUGGUACAGACAAUAUCCCAGAUCCAAACCGGAGUUCCUCCUGUACAUCUUCCAGCAUGGAGCUAUGAGUGAAGACAGACCACCCAGAUUUACUGCUGCAGUUAAUCAAGACAACAAACAAGUGGAUCUGAAGAUCUCCUCUGCUGUAGAGACAGAUUCUGCCAUGUACUACUGUGCCCUGGUGCCCACAGUGACAGGAAACCCACCUGCUCCGUACAAAAACUUAAUACCUUAA